CCACAAAGCACCGGAAGCUAGGGAAAAGACAUGAAACACACAUAGAACAGAUUUUUUUUUUUCCCUCAGCCCCAGAAGGAAGCAAUUCAGCAACACCUGGAUCUUAGACUUCUAGAUACCAGAACGCAUGGACUACCCAGAGAAAGUCACAAUCUCUGGUGAGGCUGCUCUCUGAAACUGAGGCUGAUCAUGGAAGAGCUGCCUGUCGGAGGCUCUCUGCUGACCACGCUCCUGCAGCAGAGCAGUCCUUUCUUGAGGGAGAUCUGGGUGGCACAUAUCCUUGUCUAUCAUACUUAGAUUAACCUGCUAUUUUGAAAAGAAGUGAACUGGGCUUAGAUUCAACGAGAACAGCAGACACACAUUUUGCUAAGGGACUUGAAACAGAUUCUGCUUUUGAAUCGAGGAAGUCGCCAUUCAAGAACAUUAGGCACGAUAGACCUCAAGAUAAUCAUGCUAAGCAAAAUAAGCCAGACAGAAAAAGUUGAAAACCACUUGAUA